GCCGCGCUUCCGCUCUCCACGCCCCUGCCGGUGACCGGUUCAAUCUGGCUCAAGCCACCCUGACACCUUCGCUGUUACAGCAAGGGGGGAACUGGGGCGGCGAAGGCCCGAGGGAACAAUGGGCGAGGCCGAUCUGGCGGCAGCGCAGCGCUCUCUCCAAAGCCCAGCCUCUGUCACGUCCCCUCGGGUCCGACAGGACUAGGAAUUAAGUCAUCGCCACCACCUGACGCGUGUAACCAAUCUGCUGAGAGCAGAACAAGCGCCCCUCCUCACCAUCCCCCAGAACUGGUCCGAAACAGGAUUGAACCGCUUCUAACAAAGGGUGGAAACUUAGAAAAACAAGCUUGGAGUCGCCUAUAUUUCCACAUUGUAGCCACUUAAACAACAGAUCGCAAAUCUCAGGACCCCUUCUCCCUUUGACAAUGCCUUAAUCUUCAUCUUGUACCCCAAACUCAAAUCCGAUGUGCCAUAUACUUUUCAAUUCCAUCUGUCUGCCAUGGGUUUCAUUGAAUCCACGUUCCAAAGUUAGACAUGAUGCUCCGAGAAGAAAAUUACUGACCCCGAAUGGCUUCUAAAACUGACCUAAUAGUUUGCAUAAUGAUAGAUAUUAUCCUUUAAAAUAAAUGAUGCUUGGUGUACAUUUUUAAAGGUAUUGGGAGAAAUAGGGGGAAAACACGUGGGGGGUGUUGAUGCCAUAUGUCAAAAUAAGCCACGGAAGCCCUUUAUCAAAGAACAAUAAUCAAGUC